rnacentral:lncRNA from 1 species
AUGGGAAACUCUAAUCAGUCUUUCAUGACAGAAUUUGUCCUGCUGGGGCUUUCUGGCUACCCAGAGCUAGAGGCCAUUUACUUUGUGCUGGUCCUAUGUAUGUAUUUGGUGAUCCUGUUGGGAAAUGGAGUCAUCAUCAUUGUGAGUGUUUAUGACACCCACUUGCACACCCCCAUGUACUUUUUCCUCAGUAACUUAUCAUUCUUGGACAUCUGCUACACUAGUUCAUCUAUUCCACUAUUUCUCAGCAGCUUCUUAACGUCAAAGAAAACUAUUUCCUUCUCUGGGUGUGGAGUGCAAAUGUUUCUCUCUUUUGCUAUGGGAGCAACAGAGUGUGUCCUUCUAAGUAUGAUGGCGUUUGACUGCUAUGUGGCCAUCUGUAACCCUCUAUGAUACCCUAUCAUCAUGAGCAAGGCUUCAUACAUGUCCAUGGCUGCGGGGUCCUGGAUUGGAGGAGGCAUCAAUUCUGUGUUGCAAACCUCCCUUGCAAUGCGGCUUCCUUUCUGUGGAGAUAACGUCAUUAAUCAUUUUACUUGUGAAAUCUUGGCUGUCUUAAAAUUGGCCUGUGCUAAUAUCUCCAUAAAUAUUAUUAGCAUGGUUGUUGCUAGUAUGAUUUUUCUUGUAGGGCCAGUACUUUUUAUUUUUGUUACAUAUGUUUUUAUUCUCUCCACCAUCCUGAGAAUUCCUUCUGCAGAAGGAAGGCACAAAGCCUCCUCCACCUGCUCUGCCCACCUAACAGUGGUGAUUAUAUUCUACAGAACCAUCCUUUUCAUGUAUGCAAAGCCCAAGGCUAAAGACUCUUCUGGUGCAGACAAAGAACAAGUCACAGACAAAAUCAUCUCCCUGUUCUAUGGAGUGGUGACACCUAUGCUUAAUCCUCUUAUCUAUAGUUUGAGGAACAAAGACGUGAAGGCAGCUGUGAAGAGUAUACUGUGACAAAAAUGCUUCU